rnacentral:rRNA from 1 species
UACAGAGGUCUCAAGCGUUGUUCGGAUUCAUUGGGCGUAAAGGGUGCGUAGGUGGCGAGGAAAGUCGGAUGUGAAAGCUCGGAGCUCAACUCCGAAAUGGCAUUGGAAACUACCUUGCUCGAGGGUUGGAGGGGGGACUGGAAUUCUCGGUGUAGCAGUGAAAUGCGUAGAUAUCGAGAGGAACACCAGUGGCGAAGGCGAGUCCCUGGACAACUCCUGACACUGAGGCACGAAAGCUAGGGGAGCAAACAGG